AAUGAACGCUGGCGGCGCGCCUAAUACAUGCAAGUCGAGCGAGAAGACGUAGCAAUACGUUUGUAAAGCGGCGAACGGGUGAGGAAUACAUGGGUAACCUACCCUCGAGUGGGGAAGUAACUAGCCGAAAGGUUAGCUAAUACCGCGUACGCUUCUUGGACUUCGGUUCAGGGAGGGAAAGACGAUACCGUGGGUAGUCGCGCUCUUGGAUGGGCUCAUGUCCUAUCAGCUUGUUGGUGAGGUAACGGCUCACCAAGGCUUCGACGGGUAGCUGGUCUGAGAGGACGAUCAGCCACACUGGCACUGCGACACGGGCCAGACUCCUACGGGAGGCAGCAGUAAGGAAUAUUGCGCAAUGGGCGAAAGCCUGACGCAGCGACGCCGCGUGGGGGAGU
rnacentral:rRNA from 1 species